rnacentral:lncRNA from 1 species
ACAGCAAGGUAUCUUGAGCCCUUUGAGUCCAAAUGCUGUGUCAAAUGCUCGCUCUGCCUCAUACCGCUGGACCUGAUUCCCACGGGAUCAGCAUGCUGGUAUUGGAAGCUACCGAGAAACCUCCUGCAGCUUUGGUGGGUGAGCACUCUCACAGUUGCUUUUAUUGCUGGGCUACAAUACCCUGGCCAAAUAAGCUUAAUGGAGAAAGGGCUAAUUGUGGUUCCCAGUUCCAGAUUAUAAUAUGUCACGGCAAGGAAGUCACAAUCAAGAAGCUUGCAGGAGUUGAUCACGUCACACCCACCAACAAGAAGCAGAGAGCCACAAAUGGAGAGGAGAUCAGGUCCCCUCGAAGAAGGACUCAGCUACAAUACCAAGAGGUUUUAGUAUUAACCUCUCUCUAUACAGUCCUAGGUUGCAGGCUGUUAGAUGAUCCCACCCACAAGUAAGAUGUGUCUUUCUCCAUCAGUGAACAUGAUCAAGAUAAUGUCUUAGAGACAUUCUCAGAAGCUCAUCUCUGGGGUGGUUCUAGACUUUUGUGGAUUAGAUUUAGUUGCUUUAGAGAAAGUAGCUUUAGACUGGAGUGGGACUUAGGGGUGACUCUAUCUUGACUGCUCACUGUACCUGGUGGCCUCUUCUAGCGAUUUCUUCUGUUCAGGAUCCAAGCUCGUAACUUCAGAUGAACCUGGGAUUGCCUGGAAGACACAGCUGCCUGGACCCCACAGCUGGCAUAUUUAUCCUCUCAUGUAGUCGACUGACAGCCAGGGGAGCCGCACCCUGCUCGCGGUGAGGAGUUU